GUUAACAUAGCUUACCUUAAAGCAUGGCACUGAAAAUGCCAAGACGGUUAUACCUGCUUAACA
rnacentral:tRNA from 1 species